UGCUGGAGGUAUCAGAAGUGCGAAUGCUGACAUAAGUAACGAUAAAGCGGGUGAAAAGCCCGCUCGCCGGAAGACCAAGGGUUCCUGUCCAACGUUAAUCGGGGCAGGGUGAGUCGACCCCUAAGGCGAGGCCGAAAGGCGUAGUCGAUGGGAAACGGGUUAAUAUUCCCGUACUUGGUGUUACUGCGAAGGGGGGACGGAGAAGGCUAUGUUGGCCGGGCGACGGUUGUCCCGGUUUAAGCGUGUAGGUGUGUGUUCCAGGUAAAUCCGGUUCACUUUAACACUGAGGCGUGACGACGAGGCACUACGGUGCUGAAGCAACAAAUGCCCUGCUUCCAGGAAAAGCCUCUAAGCAUCAGGUAACAUCAAAUCGUACCCCAAACCGACACAGGUGGUCAGGUAGAGAAUACCAAGGCGCUUGAGAGAACUCGGGUGAAGGAACUAGGCAAAAUGGUGCCGUAACUUCGGGAGAAGGCACGCUGACACGUAGGUGAAGUGAUUUACUCACGGAGCUGAAGUCAGUCGAAGAUACCAGCUGGCUGCAACUGUUUAUUAAAAACACAGCACUGUGCAAACACGAAAGUGGACGUAUACGGUGUGACGCCUGCCCGGUGCCGGAAGGUUAAUUGAUGGGGUCAGCGCAAGCGAAGCUCCUGAUCGAAGCCCCGGUAAACGGCGGCCGUAACUAUAACGGUCCUAAGGUAGCGAAAUUCCUUGUCGGGUAAGUUCCGACCUGCACGAAUGGCGUAAUGAUGGCCAGGCUGUCUCCACCCGAGACUCAGUGAAAUUGAACUCGCUGUGAAGAUGCAGUGUACCCGCGGCAAGACGGAAAGACCCCGUGAACCUUUACUAUAGCUUGACACUGAACAUUGAGCCUUGAUGUGUAGGAUAGGUGGGAGGCUUUGAAGCGUGGACGCCAGUCUGCGUGGAGCCGACCUUGAAAUACCACCCUUUAAUGUUUGAUGUUCUAACGUGGACCCGUUAUCCGGGUUGCGGACAGUGUCUGGUGGGUAGUUUGACUGGGGCGGUCUCCUCCUAAAGAGUAACGGAGGAGCACGAAGGUUGGCUAAUCCUGGUCGGACAUCAGGAGGUUAGUGCAAUGGCAUAAGCCAGCUUGACUGCGAGCGUGACGGCGCGAGCAGGUGCGAAAGCAGGUCAUAGUGAUCCGGUGGUUCUGAAUGGAAGGGCCAUCGCUCAACGGAUAAAAGGUACUCCGGGGAUAACAGGCUGAUACCGCCCAAGAGUUCAUAUCGACGGCGGUGUUUGGCACCUCGAUGUCGGCUCAUCACAUCCUGGGGCUGAAGUAGGUCCCAAGGGUAUGGCUGUUCGCCAUUUAAAGUGGUACGCGAGCUGGGUUUAGAACGUCGUGAGACAGUUCGGUCCCUAUCUGCCGUGGGCGCUGGAGAACUGAGGGGGGCUGCUCCUAGUACGAGAGGACCGGAGUGGACGCAUCACUGGUGUUCGGGUUGUCAUGCCAAUGGCACUGCCCGGUAGCUAAAUGCGGAAGAGAUAAGUGCUGAAAGCAUCUAAGCACGAAACUUGCCCCGAGAUGAGUUCUCCCUGAGACUUAGAGUCUCCUGAAGGAACGUUGAAGACGACGACGUUGAUAGGCCGGGUGUGUAAGCGCAGCGAUGCGUUGAGCUAACCGGUACUAAUGAAC
rnacentral:rRNA from 1 species